rnacentral:rRNA from 1 species
GCCCCGGCUAACUACGUGCCAGCAGCCGCGGUAAUACGUAGGGGGCGAGCGUUGUCCGGAAUUAUUGGGCGUAAAGGGUACGUAGGCGGCUUUUUAAGUUUGACGUGAAAGCCCGGGGCUUAACUCCGGCAAGCGUUGAAAACUGGAGGGCUUGAGUGAUGGAAGGGACAGUGGAAUUCCUGGUGUAGUGGUGAAAUGCGCAGAGAUCAGGAAGAAUACCAGUGGCGAAGGCGACUGUCUGGACAUUAACUGACGCUGAGGUACGAAAGCGUGGGGAGCAAACAGGAUCAGAUACCCUGGUAGUCCACACCGUAAACGAUGGAUACUAGGUGUUGGCAAGCGAUUGUCAGUGCCGGCGCUAACGCAAUAAGUAUCCCACCUGGGGAGUACGACCGCA